CUUGAGAAUGAAACAUAUGUGAUAUUUGUUCAGAUGUUUCAUUUGUCGCAAAGUUAACCGAGGAAACGCUGGCUCUAGACGAUUGGCUGGUUGAAUCUUCUUUGACAACCGCCCAUUAUGCGAUGCGAGAAAAUCACAGAGCGUCAACUCAAAUAGAAAACACUAUUGUUCGAACAAUAAUUAACACAAAGAAAAUCAUUUGCCAAACAUUUUAUAUCAUAAUGUCAAUACAUUUACUUUGUGGAAAAAUAUUAUUAUACCAAUAAAAAAAUCAUACUAAAGACCCGUACAUAGCAAGUAUUUCAAUUUAAAAAUGAAAUAAAUUAAUGUUUUUAGCUUCGGAAGUUUAGAUGCCAAGGCGUAUUGACUCUAGUAGCUUGAAUACAAAUAUGUUCUGAAUGCAAUUUGUUGGCAACCAAUACUAUGCAUCAAUAGGAAAUUUAUAAGUAUUCCAACCACAGUUUCUGAUGAUCCUAGUGGUACACUGGCAAAUUUUAAUAGAGAGGCAAGUUCCAAACUUUAAUGGAAAGAACUAAACAUGAUACUGGAAUAGCCAAUUUUGGUGUUUUGCUGGAGAGUUGGCAAGCAUUGGCAUGUUGGAAAAUUGUAUAGCCAAAUUAUUGAACACCCAAUCAUCGCUUUCUUUAGCUUGUCUUAAAAGUGCCCUCAUAUUUAGCACUAUGACAUCUCUGAUUCUAAAUUAGACCCGUCAAUUGAUGCAAGAAAACUAUCUUAAAUAAGGUGCCAGUUUCUUAUACCAUAACUUAACUAUUGAAUUAAUAUUUUUGCAAAGAGCAUGGAUGGUGGGAGGAUGCAAAGGAGCAGCUAAAUGACAGAAUUAAAAAUAAAAAAGAGGUAAGUGAUGCACAGCAAGAGGACCUGAAUACUAAAGAUACCGGGAAACGUAACCACACCGGGCAGCAUGAUGGUUACUUCAUUCAUUGAGACGGGAAAUGUAAACAUGAUAAUGAAAUUACACAGAUCCACAAUAAUAAAGCAAAAAUCCAAACUCGUGUGCAAAGAAAUUUGACUGCUACCCAUUUAAAUGUGGUCUUCAACAUCUAACAUAUCAAAGAUAAAAAUAAUAGAGAUCCAGUAAAAUCUUCAAUUCAACAGAAAAUAAAGAAAAAAUCAUAGGUAUAUGCAUUUAUACACUUGCUAGACGGGACUAAGAUGACUUCGAAGGAGAUUUGUGGACUCCGUAAAGAUGAGCACCGAGUGCGCUUGAACUGGCCUGCGGCCGGAGUACUUCAAGCAUGUGCCGGCCGGAGGUUGCUUUCUCCCUUCUGGGACUCGAAAU
rnacentral:lncRNA from 1 species